rnacentral:lncRNA from 1 species
AGGGCCCAACACGCCCAGAGGCAGCACCACGCACACGCCCACAGGCAACGCCAACCAGGACCAUCGAAUGAAAUGGCGGCAAACAUGAAAAAAGGUUGAAAACCCCCGCACGAGCUCGCCUCCCAUCGCCUUGAGUUGAAUCUGUUUGCCUCUCGCCUCGCAUCGCCGCGCAUUGUGUAGCAUAGGCUAGCAUUGGCGUCGCCAUCGUGUUGCCUUGAUCCUUUCUUCCCUAUCCACGACCAACGCAAAACUUGGAAAGCCGUUUGUGGUCGACUUCGUGGGACUUUCAUGAUAAUCAAUGGCCCUUCUCGACACAUUUUUGUUUCAUAUCCAUGUUCAUGUUAGCCAAAGCCUAACCGCGAACCCCCAACGUGAACAAGAAAAAAAUAAUAAUGUAAACAAACAGUAUUCAAUAAAAAUAGUGAUUACCAUAUGUGAUAUUUUUGAAGCAUUUUGAACUAUUUUCUAACAGGUGACCUCAGCGUCCCAAGGAAAAAAAAGAAUUUGUGCAGCGCCCAGAUGGCCCAGGCGUCGGGUUGGGACGCUCGAUAUUAAUUUUUUUUAGUCUUUCUGUAUGUUGUUUGGAAACAGUAAUCAUCAACCUACAAUUUACAAGCAUUUUGUAGUUUUCAUAUUAUGAAUUUUUAAUUUUACAAUUUAUUUAUAUUUUUAAUAAUUUAUUUAAUUAAAAUAUAAUAAUAAUUAAUUUUUGUCUUUUAAUUAUAUUGAAACUUUUUUGUGGGGUACUAUUUUGUAUAUGCUUGAACACGUGGGUGAUAACACUCAAAAAUAGUGUGUACUUCUUAUAAAAAGUACAUUAUGACUCCUCAAGCAGGGGUGAUGUCUAGUGCUGUCACUUUGGUUUUUUUCAUAAGUGCUACUAUAGGGAGGGGGUACCUCACUCAAAUUGUACCUACAAUUUACAAGCAUUUUGUAG